UUUUUUUUUUUUUUUUUUUUUUUACAGACAGGGUCUCUCUACGUAGCCCAGGCUGGUCUCUAACUCCCAGCCUCAAGCAAUCCUCCUGCCUUGGCCUCCCAAAGAGCUGGGAUUAUACACAUGAGCCACCACACCUGGCCAUGUAUUUUUGAAUGUUUCUCUGGCUGUGAGCUGUCUGUCUAAUAGUAAAUUGAUUUAAACAUUUUCAGCCAGUUCUGUCCAACUAUUUAGCCAUACUUUUAGCAUUUAAAAAACUUUUUUUUUUUUUGGAGACAGAGUCUUGCUCUGUCGCCCAGGCUAGAGUACAGUGGCGCGAUCUCAGUUCACUGCAACCUCUGCCUCCCGGGUUCAAACGAUUUUCCUGCCUCAGCCUCCGGAGUAGCUGGGAUUACAGGCGCAUGCCUCCACGCCUGGCUAAUUUUUGUAUUUUUAGUAGGGACGGGGUUUCGCCAUGUUGGCCAGGCUAGUCUCGAACUCCUGACCUCAGGUGAUCGGCCCGUAUCAGCCUCCCAAAGUGCUGGGAUUACAGGCAUGAGCCACCGCGCCUGGCCAAAACUUCAUGUUUCUUUGUUAGUCUCCUGAUAAAAGAGGGACAACUCUCUUAAAGAAAUUUUGAGAAGGUACCCUGAUCAGAGAACUCCAAAUCAUUCCUCUGGGUAUACUUAGAUUUUCUUUAGGCUAUGCUGAAAGUGAGGGUAGAAGAUCUCCGUUAGAAAUCUCCCCUCCAGGCCGGGUGCGGUGGCUCACGCCUGUAAUCCCAGCACUUUGGGAGGCCGAGGUGGGCGGACCACCAGGUCAGGAGAUUGAGACCAUCCUGGC
rnacentral:lncRNA from 10 species